AACGAACGCUGGCGGCGUGCCUAACACAUGCAAGUCGAGCGCGAACAUAACCUUCGGUUAUAAGUAGAGCGGCGAACGGGUGAGUAACACGUGGGAAAUCUGCCCUCAGGAUCGGAAUAACUCAGGGAAACUUGAGCUAAUACCGGAUAAGACCACAGGUCCAUGCGAUCUGUGAGAAAAGCGGAGGCCUUCUUCGGAAGCUUCGUACC
rnacentral:rRNA from 1 species